AUAUUAUAGCUAAUAAAAGACCAAAGUGCCCCCAAUGAGAGAAGAAGAGAUGCAGGGAUAGAUGUGUAUUGGAAUAAAAGAAAAUGUAUUAGGAAAAGAGAGGUGUAUUCAUAUGCUAUAAGACUAAGUAUUUUUGGAUAAAAUUGAAUCUGAUAAGAUGUAUUUUAUGAUGGAGGGAGUAUGCUUAAAACUAAUUAACCAAGAAAAACCUCAAGCACUCGACGGGUGAGUUUAGACUGGUACAAAAGGCGAUCACAUGAUUUUACAUAAGGAUGGACUCAAGUCCUUUGUGCCCAUGAUUGUGAGCACCCAAUUCCUCGUCUCAUAAAUAUCUUUGAACUUUGAGGAUUGCAACAUAAGAGGAUGCUCUUUCUAAUUAAAAACCUGUGUAUCCCUGUCAUUCCAUAGUUUCCAAAUUGCAAGGAUGAUCAUGGACCUUAUACAAAUAAGCAGCCUUCCCUCCUCCUAGAAACACUUGAUCGGUUCUUGAGUUCAAGUUCUUGCACUUUAAGCUACUUUGACACCUUUAUUAGAACCAUGGUUAUGGAGACAUUUGAUUGAUCAUUGAUCAUGUGUGGUGAACAUAUCUACAUUUAUUCUAGAGGGAAGACCAAGAUUUUAAAAUUAUUCGUUAGAACAUGAGCAGUUUCAGCAAAUUAUCCAUCAUGGCUGGUCAAUCAACACCAACCAAACAGAUAAAGCCUAAAUAUUAUUGCAAAGUUUAAAACCUUAAGAAGGGUUGCUCAAAAGCUGGCAACUUAAUGUAUUUGGUCUCAGUGCUGAUCUUGAAAAAUGUCAAGAACACCAUAUCAUUCAUGGAAUUUGUCAUUUAAUGGAAUUUCAAAGAGUUUCUUAAUUAGAAACAUAUUUCCCUACUUAACCAGCAAAGAAUCCAUUAGAAGCAAAACAAAAAAAAUCAAUAUAUCGAAAUAAGCUCACCUUAUAAUCAAUGGUUGUAUUUGAAGACGUCAUGUCCUCAUCAAGAGCUAUUGCCAUUGAAUGAUAAAGCUCUCUAUGUGCAUCUAUGAAGCUCUUGAUCCCAAGGUUUUGUAGUCAAUCAAGGACUUGGAGAUGUCACAUAAUGUAUGGAUGAGGCUUGAGGACUCGUAUGAGCACACAUCGAUGGUAAAAGAAGCCAAACUAUAUAUAUUCAAGGACAAGUAUGCAAAGUUUAAGAUGCUAGAAGAUGAGAGUGUAUUUUUUAUAGGCUAUUUCACUCCUCUAGCCUUCUAGAUCUUUUCUCUAUGGACAAAGCAGAAGCAAAUGAUAGAAAACCUCCAAAAUUGCUUGGAAAUGGUUUGUCUCCCAAAAACUAAGGUAGCAUUUGGUUACCAUGGGAUUCCAAGAAAUUGGUAUAAAAAAAAUCCUAUAAUACUAGAAUUCCAUCCAAACAAGGUAUGAUUCUAGUGAAUUUUAACAUACUUGCACGUAAUCCAAUAAAAUAUAUCAGAUUAUUUUAUCCAGAUUCUUAAAAUCCACUUGGAUCCAAAUGGGGCCUAAAGGAGGUCUUGGAGUCCUAAAACUAAAAAUUCAGAAUGAAGCUCUACAGCUAAAAAAUUGUACACAAAUUCUUCAAUAGCAAGGGUUGGGAUACUGCUUUGGAUCGUCAUGGUAUCCAUGGUACGGAACUAUUGAUUUGGGACAAGGUUUUUCACGAAACUAAUAACUAAAGUGAAAUUAUGAAAGGUACAAAAUGUUUUUUAAGAAUUCAAAAUUCUAAUGAUAUUGGGUAGAUUGCGCGCUCGCACGUUUAUAGGGAUGAAGAUUCAUAUAUGUAUAUGAGUGUCUAUGUUGUUUUAAAAGAAGAAAUCAUAAUAAUAUCUCUAGUCUACGGUUCGUCUAGAUUCACAUUAAAAGCAUGUUAGGAUUAGGUAGGUCUAGCUUACUAGUUGGGCAAAAAAUUAGCUUAAAUUACCUAAUAUUGGCUACCUAUUGACUAACACCUAGUUGAAGCUUUGCGAAAAAGAUAACUCAUCUAUUAGCCCUCCUGUUUGGAUGCACUAGAGCUAAUUUUAGCUAAAAUUUUUAGCUAGCUAGCAAUUAGCUAUUGUAUCCAAACAAGCUUAAGGAUUGCAACAGUGCAGCACAUACCUAUACAUAACUUUUCCUUUCCAUUGUUCAAUAAUUGAAAGUACAUACCAAUAUAAUAACCAUGCAUUAUGCACAUCUCUGAGAGUAAGACAACAUUGACGCACAGCCACACAAAUUGCAGGCACAAAUUGAAUGAUACAAACAUGCAUGGCAGUAAUAGCAGAUACAUAUAGGCGUGGCCGCGUGGGUGUAUAACCUUUCAGAUAGCUGAAGAGUGAAGACGAAAGUCAGAAACCUUUUGGUAUACUGUUCAUACAUAGAGGCAGUGUCAGCUCAGAUGCUGGCGAAUCAUCUUACACCCCCACUAACUAAUGUUAGCCCGAUCGAGGUUGGUGAGUGGCGACCCUACUAAAGUAGCUUUGAUCAAGCCGCAAAACACCCGCGCCACACACAGGUCAUAGGCUGCAUGACAUGUGGUAAUAACUCGUUCAGCUAGCUCUCUCAAACGUUCCAGAACCCUAGCUAAUCUUUACCCAGAUCGUGGUGGAUACAAAUCUGAAUGAUACAUGUCUGUUCCUGCACGUCAGUUGAUCCUAUAUUAGUAUAUAUAUGUAUCCGGUCGUGAAUAUUUUCGAGACAUUAAAAAUUAUCCUAUCCAUGAAUUGAUCACUUCUUGUCCCAUCUAAUUAGUCGCUGCUGAAAAAGUGGACGCACGGCAGGAGAUCGGCUAUGUGCCGUCAACCACACUGGGUAGACGAUGAUGAUGACUGAUCGAUGAGGCCAUGGUUGGAACGGCCUCAUUCGCACGGCUGCUUAGUGCGCUCUGCCUGCAACUUCCUGACCGCUGAUUAGGGUUUUGUUUAAUGCUAUUGGUUUAAAAAGGCAGGAAUAAUUUAAAUUAUUGUUUCCAGGAAUCUAUCACGCCGAUUGUAAAUUAUUGGAAAAUAUGCAUGAAGCAUGAGUGAAAAGGUUGCCGCACUGAUGCUUUGCGUUGGGUUAGAUACUUAGAUGUCAUGCUGUGUUAGAGGGGUUCAGUGGUCUGACUUGUCAUUGCUGGAUUGGACAGACUCCAUGUUUGUAGGGUGCCACCUCAAUCCGACUUGUCACAUAAUUACUGGCUAAAGGGAAUGGAUGCGUGUAGAUUCGGGAAUUAAGGCUCUUCUUCCCUACCCUAGCUCUUUUUUUUUGCCUAUAAAUGAAACUAGAUCAGGGCAACACAUGUUUCUUUUUAAGAUGGAAUUGUUCCGAUGUUACUAAGGGGCCGUUUGAUAAAGCUCAAUCUCUAGCCACAACAGCUUCAGUAGUAGCUUCUCUGAUGAAGCUGUUUUUUUUUUGCUUCUGCUUCUCUAGUUAGAAAAAUAUUUGGUAAAACGAUUUUUCUUCUAGUUGUUGAAAAUGGUGAAAUAUCUAUAUAAUAUCCUUCUAUAUUUUCUUUCUUUCUUUCUCUCUCCUUGUUCUUUUCUUCCUUUAUUUUUUCCUCCUUACUUUAUUCCUCUUCACUCUCCACCUUAUAAUGCCUACUAGUGGAUGACGCGCGCUCUUGCGCGCGAGACUAAACCAUCUCGACAAUAAUAUGUAAUAUUAGUUGUAAUGGUGGUAAACAUGAUAGUCUUAAUUGAUUUAAGCACAAUGCAGUAAACAUAGGUAGACAUACAUAAUAUUACAUGUCAUAUUAUAUUGAUGCUUACCAGGUUUGGUAGAUGGCAAGUCUCGACGCCAAUAUAAAAGCAUUACAGAGUGCUAGGUAAUAUUAUACAACAUUAAUAUUAUACAACAUUAGUAGGAUGUAGAGUCUAGGCUCCGUGAGAUAUAUUGUACAAAAGCAUCUCAGUCUGCCCAAGCACUCUUAUAGGUCCAUGGCAUUAGCAUCAUUAUGUAGGGUGGAACUUGGAGAAGGCUGUUCACUGUUGUGAAGCAUGCGAGCGCUUGCGUCUGAUGAGUUAACUUUAAUAAAGUAGUCCAUAGCAAACAUCCAUAUGUCUUCUAACUGCAUGUCCAACUGGAAUUGUUGGUCGAUUGCAAUCUUGAUACUUUGGUGGCUGAUUGCAUCGGUGGCUGAUAGUAGAACCUUUGGCAUCACUGCAUUGUCAAAGACAUUUGAGUCAUUGAUGUGGAGGUAUGUCGUGUUGACUAUCGUCAGGUUUGGGUAAUGGUAAUUAGCCAUCCCCUAGAUAUUGUGGCCUGUAUAAUUUUUAAUUCUAGUCAACGAUUAAUUUGAAGCACAAGCAAACUGAUGGGUUUAAAAAUAUGUCAAUAUAGAGGACGUAGUUGUCACAUAGAAUUAGGAAUGGAAUGAGUCAUUACUGUAUUAUUCCUAAAUUCAGUACAUUUUUCCAUGUAAAAGGAAUCCUGACUAUAUUGACAACAAUUUAUGAAGCUAUGAAAUAGGACUGGCAUAUAGCUAGUUAUUCUCUUUGGUUUAAAUGACAAUGUCACAUGGUAAUACACUAAUACUGCACAUUAUUACUAAGUGUUUUCAUGGAUGUCACUUUUUUGUGUGUUCGUAAGUCUUGAGACUCAAAGGAUCAAUGGUCCAAAAUUGAGCUGCCAUUGAAUGGAUUGACAAGCAAUGGGAGGGAACAGGAGUAUAGAGUUUUGUCAGAUCUCACGUACUGCUGUUGUAGCUGGGCUGGUGGCUGUGGCUUGAUUGAGUGGACUGUAAGUGAGAAGCAAUUGUAAUGACUUGCGUAUACCGUGAAAGCAAGCAUAGGAGUCACCCAAAAAAUAGGACAAUAUGGUAACUCUAAAAUCAGCCCGGCACUUCUACUUUGGUUAAUAGCUCAAGGACUAAACUGGGAUAACAAACAUUUAAGCCCAGACCAUAUGCCAUGAUUAACUAUGGAGGUCUAUCAUAGCUUAGUUCAGGAACAGGAGCGGAAGUAAUUGGAAGCUAUCCAAACCUUUGGCUACGCAAUACCACAAAUAUUAGGCGCGGUAGAGUAUAAGACAAAUAAAGGCAAAUAUUAUCAUUGACCAAUUGGUGAGCCAAAGCAAAAGAAGAGAUGGCGAGGAAAAGGAAGAGCAAGCAAAUUUAGUAAGUGACCAAAGAAAAAAAGAAAAAUAAUAAUAUGUUACUCUAAGAAAACUGCUAGGCCAUGUAUUGUUUUGGUGUACUGUCGAGGCAGCUCUUUGAUGAGGGAUUCCACAACAAUGGAAUCCCUCAUAACAGUCUGAAGGCAGUAAAGUCCAAUUUUUUAAAAAAUGAACACCAACCUGAUUUGUGUAGAAAAGCCUGCAACGAUGCAACACUUGGCCUGUCUGGUAAUCCAAAAGGACCCUGGAUGUGGGAAGGCAAAAAUAUUUUAACAAAUCAGGAAACUUGAAAUAGAACAAGCAUUAUAAGUCAGAUUACGAAGAAUGUACAAUGCAUGUAUUGGUAGAUGCAAAGAACAAUAGGCACUUCCUUCUUUCAGUCUUUAAAAAAAGUGGGCACUUCCUUCUUUCAGUCCUUAAAAAUAGUGCUUCUAUUGAAUCCCAGUCCUUAGUCGAUGACACAAUGUAAUUUAAUACAAUUCCUCUGAAACGAAAGAGUGAAUCAGUUGAAAGGCUCUGCUCUAUAGGGAAAUGAAACAAAUGGACUAUGUCAAUUUAGAUGGCACUCUCUGGACAGGUAAAUAAAAUCAUUCCCCAUAUGUAGGCAUAUGGUUUGGACUGUCUGUACACAAUUUUAGUAGUUGAUGAGGACACCGUCCUUAUCAAAUAAAUUAAAUGCAGUAAUAGUGAUCGUAUCAUAUUAUUCAUGGCAAUAGUACGAAAUCUGAAACAAAACCAAAUAUCAUAAUUGAUUAAUUGAGGCAUAAAAUUUUUGAAUCGACCACGUUAAGCCAACCUGUACAAAUAAUGGAACCUUUCUCUGUUGCUGUAGCUGCAUGUUCCAUAGUCCUGACAAAUAGGAAAAUUCCACUAUUAAUAAAUAUGAGGAGCAUAUAAAAGUUAGGAUGUUAUUAACAAUAAGAAAGACCAUACUAUGAGUCGGAUACCCGCAUAUAAGCAUAAAUUGUUUUGUUUAACUAAAACACAUGGAGCUUGUGCAAUAUGUAGACAACAAAUUUUAGGCAUGUCUUGGAUGAAUAUAGAAACUAAAGAUUAUACUUGGUACAGAAAGCUAUGAACAUACAAAUCCAUUUUUUGUGAUUACUAUGUGAAUGAAUGUACAGAAAAUAGUGACCUUCAGUUGUGCCUAUAUCACCUAAAAUUAGUCUCACACAUGCUCGAAAUUACAUAAGCAACAAAUAUACAUCAUACUGGUCUUGGUCAGAAAAAAAGAUGCAUAAGGUGUUUUCUUACCAAGUAGCAGGCGAGCGUCACCAAUGUUCCCAAAAAUAUCAACAAAAACAUUAAGUGGACGAAGAUAAAAGCAAUUAGAGCACAAUGAAGCACAAGAUUCAUACCCAGAAAAAAAUCAAAGAAAUAGUUAAACCGAAAAUGACUGUACGCAACCAAAGUGUAUACCAAUGUAAUCAUCGGGAUAGGGCAUGUGCUCAGAAGUGAUAGUAUGGCAUCACAGGCAAUGCUCACAGGCAGCAAAGCAAGAACUAUCAUAGGCAAUGGCAACACAAUCUCAGAGUCAUGAUCAAGAGCAAGUUUCAGGCGCGUAGUAUGUGACAAAAUAGGCAAUCGGUAUUAUCUCUCAUUAAUGUGUCCAAACUAAACAAAACAGUUCAGGCAGGAAUGAAUGGAAGAAAACCAAGACAACCAAUUGACCAUUGCGUAAGUUGUCGAUAUAGAAAAAAGAUAUAAGAGGAAAACCGGUCAUAGGUCAUGAGCAUUGCCUCAGACAUCUAAAAAGAUAGAGAUGUAAUCUGUGGAACGCACACAAUAAUCAUUACAUGGAACACAAAUAAACCUAAUUUAUGGUGCAAUCAUCAUAGCAGUAGCCCAUUCCCUUAAUUGUAGAUGUAAAUUAUACUCAUCAUCACACAUGGCUGAAAUGCAAACAAUGAACCCAAAAACAUCAAUACUGCAGUGCACGUGGUGUCAAACCAAUAACAGUGGCAUGCUCAUGUGCUCAGAGUUUAGGACUUACAGUGGAAGCUGUAAAAGUCAGGCAUAAGCAUCAAGUAAACCCAAAGAAGGUUUAGAAAUCACAGGAGGUAUUUGGUGACAAAAUCAGCUAAAUCAGCUGCAAUGUUUAUGAACCACAGGAUAGCAAAUCAAAGUGUUGAAAACAUUUGAGAAGACAUGGUCAGGGGUUCUUCGGAGGAGCUGCACGGGUAUUGUAGGGGAUAACAACAAAAAUUCACAAUAACCAUGUGUAGAUUUGUGAGAGAGUAGAAUGAGAACACCACAUCUACGGCGAAAUCGAGCCUGCGUCCAUGCAUAUCCCACAUGAGGAGAGAGGGGGAGGAAGGGAGGGAGGAAGGGAAAGUGAGGGAGAGUAAACCUGCGAGUGGAUGGAUCGAAGGAGAGCAGAGCCGCAUCGACUAUGUGCAGGAGCUCACGCAGAGGGGGGCGACCAUGGCCAACGGCGGUGUCCGAACAUGUCGCGCCGCCGUGUGGGACCCAUACCACCUGCGUCGUGCCCUGCGAGGAGCCAUGUCACGGGGCCAAGCCGUGUGGGGUAGGUGAGUAUGGAGGGGGCCGCCGGGCUGCCACCCGAUGAACGGCCAAAACCCUAGGUUGGGUUUCUGUUGACCUAGGACCAGAGAGGGCGUCACGGUGGUCGACAGCGAUGACCUCGGUGGGCACACAGCAGCGACGCAGAGGUAGCACAGGACACCAUCAAAUAGUAGGCCAGACAAAGCAGAGGAAACAGCAGGAACCCCCAAGAUCACGACAGGAGCGACGGCGCCAAGGGAGAGAACAGACGAACCGAGCCUGAGGAAGACGAAAGGGAGGAUAAAACUGGGAGCAUUAGGCGGUGUUGGGUCCUUUUUCUGGUGGCUUGUGGGCCCCUACUUGGUUGGUGCAACAGGGAUGGCAAUAAAUGAGACAAACACACUUAAGAAGCUAUGGAGCCGAAGCGAGAGGCAGAAUCAACCA
rnacentral:lncRNA from 1 species